rnacentral:tRNA from 1 species
UCCCCAGUGGUCCAGUGGUUAAGACACUGUGCUUUCAAAACAGGGGCAUGGGUUAGAUCUCUGGUUGGGGAG